CUGCAGGGCGGCCGCGAAUUCACUAGUGAUUAGAGUUGAUCAUGGCUCAGAUUGAACGCUGGCGGAAUGCUUUACACAUGCAAGUCGAAACGGCAGCACGGACUUCGGUCUGGUGGCGAGUGGCGAACGGGUGAGUAAUAUAUCGGAACGUAUCCAAUAAUGGGGGAUAACUAAUCGAAAGGUUGGCUAAUACCGCAUACGCCCUACGGGGGAAAGCUAGGGACCUUCGGGCCUGGCGUUAAUGGAGCGGCUGAUAUCUGAUUAGCUAGUUGGUGAGGUAAAAGCUCACCAAGGCGACGAUCAGUAGCUGGUCUGAGAGGACGACCAGCCACACUGGAACUGAGACACGGUCCAGACUCCUACGGGAGGCAGCAGUGGGGAAUUUUGGACAAUGGGCGAAAGCCUGAUCCAGCCAUUCCGCGUGAGUGAAGAAGGCCUUCGGGUUGUAAAGCUCUUUCGCAAGGGAAGAAAACUUAGUCUCUAACAUAGA
rnacentral:rRNA from 1 species